rnacentral:sRNA from 1 species
GGUGACUUCACAAAAGAUACCAUUUAAUGAAAGUUUACUAGUUUUUUGUUUUUUUGUCUUCCAAAACAGGACACUCCUGGGUUUAUUGUGAACCGCCUCCUGGUUCCAUACCUCAUGGAAGCAAUCAGGCUGUAUGAACGAGGUAUCCUUCUGACCCAGGCCAGGAGCAGCAGGCCUCAGCUCCUGGCGCCACUGUCUGGAAUUCUCAGUGUCUCUAGGAGGGGUCGGGCCGUGCACAACGGAGGAAGCAGUGUCUGUUUUCUAGCUCUGUGAGCUCAGCUGCACCCUGGGCCCUGGUACCUUUUUCACUGUUUUCCCGGGGCCUCCUGGCUUCCCUGUGAGGCCUCUGAGAAAGGUUUCUGGAACUCCUACCACCCCCACUACAGUCCCAGCCAGAGCAAUUGCAUGGCCGUCCCAGAUUGAUAUCCUGGAUCUCUGCUUUUGAUUAAAAGGUUUACUGCUUUUAAAAAUAAUCAUAAUGUAAAAAUCACUAGGCUAGGAGAUCUUGAAAGUUCCUUAAAGUUCUAAAACUUGUGACUGACAGGUGAUUAGAAAUAUGUGACAAGGCCGAUAUGUGGUAAGGACAGUUUUUAGUAGUCUGUCCUUACUGAGUGAUGUCAUGAUGUACUUUUUGUAACCUUAAGAAUGGUGUAAACAGUUUUCCUCAGUACUUGAUCGACAAAGAAUGCUUUUCUCUGCUGUAGAAAUACCAGAUUUGGGACAGGGUCCAGGCUUCUAAAUUGAUCUGCAUCCUCCUGCCUGCUUUCCCUCCCUGGUUUCUGGAAAGGUAGCUAUCAUGUCUGCUUCAAAGGCAAACAAGCCGUAAUAGGACUGGAUAAAAAGCAAGUGUAAUUGUUUUCAAUUACUUCAUUCAUAAAUGCUCACUCCUGAGAGUGUCAUUUUUUAAACAAAACAUUUACACCAGCUCCUCCAGAGAGAUGAAAGCACAUUUGCUUCCUCAAAAUCUGCUUUAAAUAUUAAAACUUUUCUCUAUGGUUUAUGGAAGCAAUUGCCUCACUUUUGCUCCAAGAUCAAACCAACACUUCUGUGUUUAUCCAUCAACAAAUAUGCCUAAUUACACCUCAAAGAAAGCACAGAGCAUUUUACCCUACCUUGAAAGGCAGUUGUAUGUCUUUUUUUUUUUUUUUUUAAUGUAAUGUUUUAGAAUGUAGCAUGUGAGAGAUCCACCUCUUCAUGGUGUUUUCUCAUGCACCAUUUGAUGCAUUCUCCAAUGCACCAAGUAUCAGAUGGUAAGUUAAAAGCCCUCUUCUUGUCUGUGGUCCCUUUCUGCACAGGUGCAUGCCCUUUGGCCCUCACCAUCCCUGGCCACCUGUGGGCUGAAGCUGGAAGAGCAGGACCUGGCCUCAGGACAUGCUCUUAGCUUGCUCUGGGCAUGGGCUUCAACAGCCUAUCAUUGCUGGUCCCCCUGCUUCUUUUUCCACCACCACCUCAGAAUCUGCUUCUGAAGUUGCUGGGUGUCCUGCCUGGGGUGGGUGCUGCUUCUCUACUGCACACUACAGUCACACCCUAGGCCUCUUACCACGUCCCCCCACCCACCACCUGCUCCCUCCUCUCAGCCAACACAGAGGAGUGCUCAGAGCAUGCCCACCGUGCCAUCUCAGUCAUAUAGUUCCACCUUGAAGCCUCAAGCAUCUGGAGGCUCCUUCUCUUGUCUGCCACAUCUGUUCAUCACUUUUGAUUCCUUCCUGUCAUGCCUGUUCCACCUCUUCAUCCCAGCUUUUCCCCAUCCCAGUCAGGCUGCCUUCAUGAGGUUCCUUAGGUAGCAGAGUAAUUCACUCUACUCAUGUCUUUUCCUGACUGGUCCCCACUACUGCACUUACUGAAAAAGUAUCAUAUUGUCCAGGAAGUUGAGACACCGCCUACUGCAUCUUCCCUCACACCCCCUGCACAGCCUCGGCAGACCCUCUGUGACUGUUCCUGAACUCAUGCAAGGAGAACUUUUCUGUACCCCACUGUUGAUACACCUGGGGCUCCAUGCACAUGGUUUGGCCAAUGCUGCCUUGAGUGGUGCAGGCUCUCUGGAAGGAUGUGUGCGCUGUUGUAGGUCAGACCUCCUGGAUGACCGGGCCCCCGCCACUAACACUUCUUGCCAGUCCCCAUGGGAUCUCGUGGAGGCUCACGCCCUUUUGCUCUGCUGUUUGUCCACUCAUUGUGGCUUCCAUGUUGGGCCUUCUUUCCCAGUGUCCCAGCUCUGUCCUCACUCUUCCUAUUGCUCUUGUUCCUUCACACUGUGACUGAAGCCUGAUGCAUGCCCCAGUCACUGUCACCCCUGUCAGAGGGACAGAGGCUGAAUAGGCUGUGUCUGACAGUGGACUGCUGCCCUUGCCAGGCACCCACUCCUAAUGGCCAGUGUGGGCAGGAUGGUGGGGCCGAAUGGUCAGCUCUUCUCAGGAGGGCUCUGCUGGCAGCAGGCCUGGGAGGACCAUGAGCCUGCCCCCCAGUCACCAUGUGACAUCUUGCUCACGUUGUCGCCCCUGCUCAAGACAGGCUCAGUGUUCUCUGGUUUCCUGCCAUCUACAAGCUCUGCCAGAGAGCCUUCCUUCUGGCCACCCUCUGCCCCUGCUGUUAUCACCGCCAACUACUCCUGCCAUUCCCGUGUGGCCCCACCUGAGUGUCUGCAGAGCUCCCAGCUGGACGUCAUCUCUGUCAUCACAACUCUUCUUGCUUUGGCUCUCCCUUGGGUCACUUGUCACUGUCUUCCCUGUGGCAUGGCAGGUGUUUUCUUUCCCUUACUGUACUCUCUUUUCUGGGGUACUCUGGCUCCUCCUCAUCAUCAUAUGCCCCAAGGUGCUGUGUAGCUCGGGCACAUAGGCAGCUGCUGAUGAGUAAAAAUGCUGUUUCUGAGUUGUUGCUGAGUGCCUCUGUUGUUCGUGCUAAGAAUGGUUGGCAGAUGGUGCUGCUGAGCCAGACAAAGAAGCAGAUGUUGGGCAAGUCCCAGGCCCUCAGCUGUGCUGAUCUCGAGUUCACUGAGGAAGCUUUCCUUUGCUGUCUUGUCUGGAGUUAGGGGCUCUUAACUGGAAGGAGGUGGGAGAGGGUGUCCAAUGAACCUCCUAAGGUUGACGCAGAAUUUAGGGUAUAUGUGCAUUUUUUAUGGAGAGGGUGUCUGAUUGUCAGAAGUACUUGAUUCUAAAGAAGUUUAGGAAUUAUUAGUUUAAAACAUGAUUCCACAUCUAACUGUCACUUGGCACACCAAUCUCUGUAUUUUAUUUCUCUGUUUCUGAAAGUUUGCCUCUUUUGCUCUGCAUUAUUGAGAACACGAUUUUUAGAGUUAUGCUGACUUUGUAGAGUUAUUUAGAUAUUUUUCUAUCAUGUGCUGUAUCUUCACAUUAUUUCUUGAAAUAAAACAGUCCUCAAGUGAGUCUCUGAAUAUGGAAUUACAGCGUUGCUUCUAGGGUUAAUUUUCCUGUCCUUGAAUAUAGAUUUCAUUAAAUGGCUUUAGCUGAGUUGCAACCAUUAUGCUGUCAGAUUUCUGUCCCAGGGAGACUGCCAGUAAUAAAUGAACCAGUACAUAAGCAUGUUAGGUUGUGAUGAGUAAUUGUGGAGAAGAAGAUAGUAAGGGGUAGCAAGAGUCUUGUCCUGGUGUCCUGGCCUUUUCUUUAGUGCAGGGAGUUGCUUUUUUUAUAUAUGCAGGGAGGAGAAGAGGCUCUCUGAAGUAUGACACCUGAGCAGAGGCCUGGAGGAAGUGAGAGACUGAGCCCCGAAGCUGUCCGAGGGCAGCACCCUAGGCACAGGGAGCAUAUCCCAAGCCUGAGGAGCCUGUGAGGCCGGCACUUCCAGCAUUCCAGGGCUCUACCAGCACAGAAGCUGCAGGGCUUCGUAAUGAAAUCUUCUGAGUAGAACCCACUUUUAAGCUUCAUAGCCACACCCCAAAUAUGCUGUGUUCCUUCCCAUUCCUGCCUCUGCAUGUGCUGUUCUCUCUACCUAGAAUGCCCUUCCUGGUCUGCUCAUCUCAGGAUUAUCUUCACCUUCCAGGACCCAGGCAUGGGGGUGGUUUUGGUGAAGCCCUGGCAGUGUGAGUAAAUCUCUCCAUCUUUACUCACACAGAGCUGUGUGAGUCAUGAAUCUUCAGGUCUUAUUAUGUUGAAGUUUUUGGCUUACACAUCUGAGUUCUCCCAUUAUGUCAUGCGUACCUUGCGUGCUUGUCUUGUUUAUUUUUGUCUCAUUCUACAUCUCUGGUGCCUGCUACAUAAUAAAUAAAAGUUGAAUGAAUGAAUGAAUGAAUGAGGCUGCCUAUAUGAUUGUUUUUGUUUCUUUGCUUUCUUAUGGCCUAACACUCAAAUCAUGAUUUCUCAGGCAUCUCUAAUCCUAAUUAGUGUAGUUAUUAGUAAUGUCAACCAUAAUAAAUAAUUGUGGUGUAUUUUAGUCACCUUAAAAUGCCUUGAAAUCCUUUGGAAUUACUUUAGUACUUUAUAUGCUUUUAAAAAAAUGUCAUCUUUAUCGAUGUUUAAGUGGUUUCUCUCUGAGUGUCUUAACAUUCUUCCCUCUUUUCUUUAGCUUUGAUCUGAUUGACUUCUUCUUAAUGCUUUGGAACAAAAUUCUAGAUAGCCACCUGUUGCAGACCAUUCUACUUUUCUGAUUUCAAAGAAAGGCCUCCGUAAGAGAGUUCUCCGUAAAGAAAGUUCUCCAUAAAGGCCUCCUGGGGCCAAAGGACAUAGUAAGAGUAAAUUUCCAAGGGAAAAGCACAUUGAUCCUUGUCUUAGUCUACUCAACAGACUUCCAAACAUGUGUGGUGAUUCUAACUUGGGUUUGGGCUUUUCGUUAAAAGGUAUCUUGACUAAAAGGUUUGUGUGAAAUGUGAUGCCAGGGGAAUACUCCUUACUUGUAAAACCCAAAAAACUGGAGGGAAAAAAAUACAUACAAUAACUAUACAUACAAAAGCAGAAAGCUUAGUUUUCUUUUUUAAGAAAGUUUAUUUAUAAAUCAAAAAUAUGCUCUAGCAUUAAAUUAUACUUUAAUAAAUGGUUCCAGAGUUGGAAAAUCCCAAUGUAUUUGAAAGUAGCUGAAGUUUCAGGCAUGGAGGCUUCUGUCUCCAUGAACAGGGUAUCAGUACUCCAAAAUUCACCUCAGUGAUGCCUAGCUUUGAAAAUCUUGGGCCACACACUGUGGCUUACACCUGUAAUCUCAGCACUUUGGGACGCUGAGGCGGGAGGAUCACUUGAGGUUGGAAGUUUGAGCCCAGACUGGCCAAAUGGUGAAACCCUGUCUCUACUAAAAAUACAAAUAUUAGCCUUGUGUGGGGGCGCACACCUGUACUCUCAGCCACUUGGGAGGCUGAGGCAGGAGAAUCACUUGAACCCAGGAGGCGGAGGUUGCAGCGAGCCAAGAUCGUGCCAUUACACUCCAGCUUGGGUGACAGAGCAAGUAAAGUCUUAUGACCUCUUUGGCGUGUACUUUAGAGAGGAAAUCUUACCCAAGCCAGAAAGUCUCACUCUAGACAUUUUUUUUAUUGUGCAAGCAUAUAAAAUUCUAGUAAUUCUGGGGCUAAUCCUGUGAUAGGGAGAAUUCAAGGAAAGGUGGUGGUGACCCAGUGCUGCUGUUUUCUCCUUAGGUGAUGCAUCCAAAGAGGACAUUGACACUGCUAUGAAAUUAGGAGCCGGUUACCCCAUGGGCCCAUUUGAGCUUCUAGAUUAUGUCGGACUGGAUACUACGAAGUUCAUCGUGGAUGGGUGGCAUGAAAUGGAUGCAGAGAACCCAUUACAUCAGCCCAGCCCAUGCUUGAAUAAGCUGGUAGCAGAGAACAAGUUCGGCAAGAAGACUGGAGAAGGAUUUUACAAAUACAAGUGAUGUGCAGCUUCUCCGGCUCUGAGAAGAACCCCUGAGAGCGCUUUCCAGCCAGUGCCCCGAGUGCCUGUGGGAAUGCUCUUUGGUCAGACAUUCCCUCACACAGCACAGUCUAAUAAAUGUGCAUUUUGAUUGUAAUCUAUUAAAGUGAUUAUUACACCAGUUACAGCAGUAAUAGAUUCUCCAUUAAGAACUAAUUCCCUUUUUUAGUCUGUUCAUUUCUGUGUAUUUUCUAAACAGCUUUACACCCUUGGUGCCUUGGAGCAAACAUGUUUUUUGAACCUUGUCAUUUUUAUGAAGAAUUGCCUGGAUUCGUUCUCUCAUCAAGGGGAAAGUACUUCCUCCGAGAGUGCGAGCGCACCAUGCUCACUGUUGCUGCGUGGGAGAGUCACAAGCCACUGGCAAGCACGUGGUAUAGUCUGUGAAGCACUGCAGCGAGCAGCACCUGGAUCUUGCCUUUGUAAGAACAUUUUACUAUCUGCAGCUUUGAGUCUUGCCCUACAUUUUGGGCAUGACAUAAGAUGUGUCUUUAUUCAGCUCGUCAUGAAGAUGCUGCUGCUGAAUGGGUCGGCAUAUCUGUAUGUGCAUGGUUUGCAGGAGGUCAGUUUUCAUGGUCAUCCAGUUCCACAGAUCUGAAUGAUUACUGUCUGUCUGUGUCUUUUUUCCAUGAGAAAUCACUUGCAAAUUGCCUAUAAAUUGACUCUACUAAAAUAACAAUGUUUCAGUCUGAAAAUUUGAAUUGAAAAAAA